UACGUAGGGCGCAAGCGUUGUCCGGAAUUAUUGGGCGUAAAGAGCUCGUAGGCGGUUUGUUGCGUCUGUCGUGAAAGCCCACAGCUUAACUGUGGGUCUGCGGUGGAUACGGGCAGACUAGAGGCAGGUAGGGGAGAAUGGAAUUCCCGGUGUAGCGGUGAAAUGCGCAGAUAUCGGGAGGAACACCGGUGGCGAAAGCGGCUCACUGGACCUGAUCUGACACUGAGGUGCGAAAGCUAGGGUAGCAAACGGG
rnacentral:rRNA from 1 species